rnacentral:lncRNA from 1 species
GAGAGCUGCAGGAGGGUGACAUGAUCUCAAUAAAAGGAAUGCUCUGGCUGCUGGGUAGAGAAGAAAGCGAGGACAUGCUGCUGCUGAAGAAACACACGGAGGACAUCAGCAGCGUCUACGAGAUCCGCGAGAGGCUCGGCUCGGGUGCCUUCUCCGAGGUGGUGCUGGCCCAGGAGCGGGGCUCCGCACACCUCGUGGCCCUCAAGUGCAUCCCCAAGAAGGCCCUCCGGGGCAAGGAGGCCCUGGUGGAGAACGAGAUCGCAGUGCUCCGUAGGAUCAGUCACCCCAACAUCGUCGCUCUGGAGGAUGUCCACGAGAGCCCUUCCCACCUCUACCUGGCCAUGGAACUGUGAGGAGGGCCUGGGCAGGCUGUGGGAGCCGGGGAGGGACUGAGCAGUGAGUGGGGCUGAAGGCCAGGCUGAGUGCCUGGGUCAGCCAAACCCCUGGCACCCCCAGGGUGACGGGUGGCGAGCUGUUUGACCGCAUCAUGGAGCGCGGCUCCUACACAGAGAAGGAUGCCAGCCAUCUGGUGGGUCAGGUCCUUGGCGCCGUCUCCUACCUGCACAGCCUGGGGAUCGUGCACCGGGACCUCAAGGUGCCUGGCUGGGGCCUCUGCACCCCACCCUCCCACCUGCCCACCUGGCCCUGCCUUUGUUUUCCCGGGAGCACGGCUGGGGCCUUUCUUGAUCUCCUGCUCCACCAAGGCUCUGGGGAACCUGAGAGUGCCUAGUCCCCAUCCUGUCCCAGCACCGGCACCGCGUCAGGACUGACUGGCCCUUUUCCCGGUGUCCGUGUGUCACAGCCCGAAAACCUCCUGUAUGCCACGCCCUUUGAGGACUCGAAGAUCAUGGUCUCUGACUUUGGACUCUCCAAAAUCCAGGCUGGGAACAUGCUAGGCACCGCCUGUGGGACCCCUGGAUAUGUGGGUGAGGGACGACACCCUGAGGCUUGCUGGGAGUGGGGUGGCCUGGGGGAC